UGGGGAAUUGUUCACAAUGGGCGCAAGCCUGAUGACGCAACGCCGCGUGGAGGAUGAAGGUCUUCGGAUUGUAAACUCCUGUUGCUCGGGACGAAAAGCCUCGACCUAACACGUCGAGGUCUGACGGUACCGAGUGAGGAAGCCCCGGCUAACUCUGUGCCAGCAGCCGCGGUAAUACAGAGGGGGCAAGCGUUGUUCGGAAUUACUGGGCGUAAAGGGCGCGUAGGCGGCCCGCUAAGUCGAACGUGAAAUCCCCGAGCUCAACUCGGGAACUGCGUCCGAUACUGGUGGGCUUGAAUCCGGGAGAGGGAUGCGGAAUUCCAGGUGUAGCGGUGAAAUGCGUAGAUAUCUGGAGGAACACCGGUGGCGAAGGCGGCAUCCUGGACCGGCAUUGACGCUGAGGCGCGAAAGCUAGGGGAGCGAAACGGGGUUAGAUACCCCGGUAGUCCUAGCCCUAAACGAUGAAUGCUUGGUGUGGCGGGUAUCGAUCCCUGCCGUGCCGAAGCUAACG
rnacentral:rRNA from 1 species